rnacentral:tRNA from 1 species
UGCCCGAUCGUCUAAUGGUAAGACAGCGGACUCUGACUCCGUCAAUCGAGGUUCGAAUCCUCGUCGGGCAUCCA